AGAGAUGAGUUUCAGAUUGGUCUACGGUGUAGCAUCUUGUGUCUAUAAAAUUAGCUGCUCGUUAUGCGUACAUAAUCCUUUCUACUGCAGUUGCUUUUCAAAAGAUAUAACGUUAGCCAUGGAGAACUGCAAAUAUGUUGCUACUGCUCUCAAUAACAUUGCUGCCCUGAAUUUAUCAGGCGCUAUCGACAACGGUCAGUGAAAAAACUUUAGCUAGCUAUGACAAUCGGUUUGUAUUGCUAGUACUCUAUUGCUUGGGAUUAUAGUUCAUUGUUUAUCUACCUAGCUAACAUUAACGUCACAUGUCUAAACAAAAGACCCCAAGUUAAAGAUUGCUGUUAGCUAGCUAACGUUAGCUGAGGUUAGACGGCUGGCUUGCUAGUUAACAUUAAUUUACGUGUAUGAACUGUGCAACGUUAGAUGUUUUCUCAAAUGCCAUUUCACAUUGCUAGUUGUAUUAUAGCCUAAUGCUAGCUAGCUAACAUUGAACUUAUUUGUUUAACUUUUUUAUUUGACUUAUUUUUAUUGACCCUUUAUUUACCUAGGGCAAUCAGUUAAGAACAAAUUAUUGUUUACAAUGACGGCCUACCCCGGCCAAACCCAGACAACGCUGGGCCAAUUGUGCGCCCGAUUGUGCACCUUCCAUUCACAGCCGAAUGUGAUACAACUUUAGCUAGCAAUGACAAUCGGUUUGUAUUGCUAGUACUUUAUGGAUUGGGCUUAUGGUUCAUUAUGUAGAUAAACAAAAUACUAAGUUAAAGCCUGCUGUUAGCUAGGUAACGUUAGAUGGCUGGCUAGCUAACAUUACAUGUAUGAACUGUGUGUAGUGAUAUCUCAAUGCCAUUUCAUAUCUAUUGUAUAAUGAUAAAAUAUUUGUAUCUGUCUUUCAGCAUCUGUAGAACAUGCCUGACUGUCAAGAGAAUUAUGUUCUCAAUGUUCAUAAACCAAUUCAAUUAAACUACUGUCUGCUAAAUCAGGAUUUGUAAGAUACUGAUUGAAAUGAAAGACAGAGGUCCAGCUAAAAUAGUCAAUAAGGUUUAUUCACGGGAACUAUCUAAAGUCAAGAAUACAAAGACAUCCAUUUUAUAGCUGCACACAUACUUCCACACGAACAGAAACAGCCUACACACACACACACACACAACAGUAGGUAUCCUACGCACAUACUGUCCCACUAGCCAGCCGACAAAGAUUAGGGAGACCUUGGGACGUACUCCCUGUCCUUUCACAAAUCUCUAGUCAGGUCAGCACCAAAUUUUGCUCAGACAGUCUGUUUUUAAGAUACUAUAAACAUUAGCUAUAUUGUUUUACCCUAAUUCUGACUAGAACUACACAUUUAUUGAUUAUAAUUUUAUACAUUCUAAUCAAUUCCAUACAAUUAUAUGGUUUCAGGGUGGAAUAUUCUAAUAAUUCAAUUAACAGAUAAAUCCCAUUAACACGGACUCUCCCCCACCAGUCAUACAAGGAGAAUGUUCUAAUGCCUCCCAUCAAAAAGAGAGCUGGCCCAAGCAAGCACAGAUUACAUCUGAAGCAUGAGGACUUGCAGCAAGUGGUGAACUUCAGCAACUACACAGAGGAUAAUGCAGUAGUAUUACCAGGACACCUCCCAGGACACAAACUCUUUGGAAAGCUGCUGCCGUCCCAUGUGACAAAAGCAGCAGUGUGGCCUCUCUACAAGGAAUCAACACUUUGGGACCCCUAUUGAACCAGCAAACAGUCUGGAACUUCACUUCCUAGAUCAAAGGCCACACCAAGUUUGCCCCCGGACUGGUGCUUCGGCCUCAUCAAGCAGCGCUUCAGAAAGACCAGAGUGAACACUGUCUGAGAUUGCUGGUGUUGUGAAGGACAGCACUGUGACAGGGGUCAACAUCCCACAGCUGGUUGGACUGGAGGAUGAUACGGUGCUGGUGGAAAACUAUGGCCGGCAAUAACACUUGACUUUGUACUUCAGGCCGCGGCCACAGAUCAAGCAGUACCAGCACUUCAGAUGGUCUGCCUGUACAAGCACCACCUGGACUGGACAUCACAUGCCCUGCACCAAAGUCAAGGGAAGGACAGAAACAUGUGCGGUUCGGACGGACCAGUCAUCAGCACUAUCUACAGUGCCUCUAUUCAAAUGACUCCCUCCUAACAUACGUUGCUGCUACAAUUUUUUAUAUCCUGCUGCUCAGCCUCUUUACCCCUGAUUGUAUGCCUAUAACUACGUCAUCUAUCACUGAUAUCUAUUGAUAUUGUUCUAGUACAUGCUGUAUAUUAUUUUAUUUAUAUUGACGCUAUUUCUGAUAUUGCUACAAUGCAACUAACCAUUUGGCUGUACCGUUUACACCUUCUGUAGAGACCCAUCCACUUAGCAAAAUAUUGAUAUAUAAAAUUAAUUGAUAUGUGUGGUCGUAACAUGAUUUUGUGACAUACCACAACAAUAUCAUGUAACCGUAUCAAGUGUCCACCACAUAUAUGGCGCAUGCAUCUGUUUAUGUACUGUACAUGUGCACCUCACUCAGGUUUCAUGGCCUUACCUUGUAUGGGAUACUAUGUGAUAAGUGCGUGUGUAACAGUAUAUAAAGUAUGCUAAUUUACUGGCGUGAAGGCAUUUGGGCAAUGGUGUAAAGUACUUCAAUGUAUUUGGGGGGGUUAUCUGUACAUUACUUUACUAUUUAUAUUUUUGCCAACUUUUACAUCAUUAGAUUCUGAAAUAAAAUAAUGUACAUUGACAGAAACUGUCCAAUUCACACACUUAUCAAGAAAACAUCCCUGGUCAUCCAUACUGCACCUGAUCUGGCAGACUCAAAUGCUUUGUUUGUAAAUUAUGGCUAUCCAUCAAUAAAAAAUGGUGCCGUCUGGUUUAAUAUAAGGAAUUUUAAAUUAUUUAUAAUUUUACUAAAGUAUGACAAUGUAGUACUUUUUCCACCACUGGAUGUGGCUGGGGGUUCUAGCAUUUCUUUCACAUGACCCAUCAAUUUAGACAAGUCUGUCUGGGAAAGUGUCAUCUAAAAUGUAUAAAAUAUUUUUAUCUGGA